ACCGAAAUUUAAAAACUCACAACGCGAGUCUCGUGCGGAAGCAAAUAUGACUGCCGAGACUAUGUGACUCUUCAAGUCUUCCUUUGCUCAAGUCAAACCACACUCGUGAAGCACAUGUGACGAGUCUGUGGUGAGCAUCGGGAGCAACUGCGUUUCCUUCGGGAUUCACAGUCUAAAAAAACGAAUUGUAAAAGUAUAUAUAUAAACACAAAAAAAGACGAAAAAAAU
rnacentral:misc_RNA from 1 species